CAGCAGCCGCGGGAAUACGUAGGGUGCGAGCGUUAAUCGGAAUUACUGGGCGUAAAGCGUGCGCAGGCGGUUUGUUAAGACAGAUGUGAAAUCCCCGGGCUCAACCUGGGAACUGCAUUUGUGACUGGCAGGCUAGAGUAUGGCAGAGGGGGGUGGAAUUCCGCGUGUAGCAGUGAAAUGCGUAGAUAUGCGGAGGAACACCGAUGGCGAAGGCAGCCCCCUGGGCCAAUACUGACGCUCUUGCACGAAAGCGUGGGGAGCAAACAGGAUUAGAAUCCCCGUAGUCCCUGUCUCUUAUACA
rnacentral:rRNA from 1 species